rnacentral:rRNA from 1 species
UACGUAGGUGGCAAGCGUUGUCCGGAAUUAUUGGGCGUAAAGCGCGCGCAGGUGGUUUCUUAAGUCUGAUGUGAAAGCCCACGGCUCAACCGUGGAGGGUCAUUGGAAACUGGGGAACUUGAGUGCAGGAGAGAAGAGUGGAAUUCCACGUGUAGCGGUGAAAUGCGUAGAGAUGUGGAGGAACACCAGUGGCGAAGGCGACUCUUUGGCC